CUUAGACAAGAAUGAACUUGAACUGCUUUUGGAACAUAGAAGCAGCUAGGAUAACCACAGAACGUAACAAAUCAGAAUGAAAACGGCAUUAAGAGGCUGUGUUGCAGCACGGGGAAACCAAGAGCAACCCGCAGGAUUCUAAAAAUGUAGCCAAGGCCACCCUCAUCUUUAACAAAGGGGUGUGGUCUUCAGAGAAUAUGACUGCUGACAUAUGACGCUCCAUUCUGAUCUGGACAGCCUCUGCUGGGUGCAUUUGGAGGAGGAGGAGGAGGAAGUAAAACUGGUCCUGAACCUGCAUUGAUUGGAGCUACUACUAUGCCAGAUUUGGAGUUUCUAUGAAGCCAAAUAUCCCUGGUUUGAGAGACUUGAGUUGUGACUGGCAAGUGUUCCUGCUUAAGACAACUGACUCGGCAUGGCUGUAUGUGGAGCUUUGUAACGUCCCUGAGUACAGGAGUGCCAAGAGGGGGCCCCCAAAAGCUUGCAAUGUAUCACAGUUCAAGAAAGAACCCUGGAGCACUAUGGCGCAUAAGUUAUUGGGACUCUUUGAAGGAGAAGUGUUAAAACUCCUAAGACAUCUAGAGGAUGUUGCCAGUCGCUCAGACUUCUGUAAUACUAUGUGACAAGGACUUGAGAUGUUUGUGAAGUUACAAACUGCUGUGAGGAGACCUUUCUAAAGCUGACUCUAUGGAUCAGUGUUUUCAGUUACUGGCCUCCACUUCUGCUGACACAAAUAAAGGUGGGUGCAAUUUUGAACCCA
ensembl:lncRNA